rnacentral:rRNA from 1 species
UGGGGAAUUUUGGACAAUGGGGGCAACCCUGAUCCAGCAAUGCCGCGUGUGUGAAGAAGGCCUUCGGGUUGUAAAGCACUUUUGUCCGGAAAGAAAUCCCCUGCCCUAAUACGGCGGGGGGAUGACGGUACCGGAAGAAUAAGCACCGGCUAACUACGUGCCAGCAGCCGCGGUAAUACGUAGGGUGCGAGCGUUAAUCGGAAUUACUGGGCGUAAAGCGUGCGCAGGCGGUUUUGUAAGACAGGCGUGAAAUCCCCGAGCUCAACUUGGGAAUGGCGCUUGUGACUGCAAGGCUAGAGUAUGUCAGAGGGGGGUAGAAUUCCACGUGUAGCAGUGAAAUGCGUAGAGAUGUGGAGGAAUACCGAUGGCGAAGGCAGCCCCCUGGGACGUCACUGACGCUCAUGCACGAAAGCGUGGGGAGCAAACA